ensembl:lncRNA
CUCGGAUUGGCAAAAUUGCAAUUGUAUGAAACUGUGCAAAACUUUUAGCUGCACUCACGUUCGACACACGUGAAUCGAAGAGGACUUUGGUUGAUUGCUAAAAGAACCACACACAAUAAUCUCGGCAAAAUCCUGUACGGACUGACCAACGCUCCUGUGGCUCAAUGAGCACAAAUCCCCACAGCCACGCUCCAAAAUCUAGUGGAAAGACUUCACAGAAGCAUGGAGGCUGUUCAGGGAAGACCGAUUCCCUACUAAGGCCCAUGGUUGUAGAAUGGGAUGUUUUUGCUUGCAGUAAUACAGACAGAUAUGACAGAAGUCGACCAAGAAGUUGCUUCAUAUACAAAAUACUUCCGUCUACCUGUCCCUGCCCUGAAUGCUGAUGAGUCAAGCACCUGGCAUUUGUUAUGAACCUGAGCACACACAUACAAAUGAUAGCCAUAAUGUAAAUAAAUACAGCACCUAAAAUAACUGUUAAAAAAGAUUUUUUUUUUUUUAAGUGAAAGAAAUAGUUACCUAACAAAUGAGAGGAACAGCAGUCAGUAGUUACCUGCCAGGUACCUGAGACACAGCAGUCAGUACUUACCUACCAGGUACCCGAGACACAGCGGUCAGUAGUUACCUGACAGUUACCCGAGACACAGAAGUCAGUAAUUACCUGAGCCAAAGCAGUCAGUAGUUACAUGUCAGUUACCCGGGACACCGCAGUCAGUAGUUACCCGAGACACCGCAGUCAGUAGUUACCGAGACACCGCAGUCAGUAGUUACCCGAGACACCGCAGUCAGUAGUUACCCGAGACACCGCAAUCAGUAGUUACCCGAGACACCGGAGUCAGUAGUUACCCGAGACACCGCAGUCAGUAAUUUCAUGUCAUUUAUCUGAGACACAGCAGUCAGUAGUUACCUGAGACACAGCAGUCAGUAGUUACCUGAGACACAGCAGUCCAUAGUUAGCUAUCAGUACAUCAAAACAAAACCACGAUAACGAAAACGCACUUUGCCGUUCAGUAAAUUUAACUAUAAUGCAAUUAGCCAGCUAAUACUUACCCUUAUACAACAGUUUUUAGAUAAUUAAGUGAACAUAUAUAACGUCAGUCUAAAUACCAACGCAGUUUCUACUGCAAAAGCAGAUCCCGAUAACCGGAAGCACUCGGCUACAAUAUGGUUAUAUUUACCAUUUAUAUAAAUGUUAACUCACCGGUUAGCCUGAUAUAUUAGCAAAGCGUGCUACCGUUCUCCUACCCGCUUUGCGACAAGUCCCGCCUCCUGGACUAGGAUUGGCCAAGAUUUCACUAUGACCGUGCGUAUGAACGAUCUAACCAAUCAUAAUACCAGACGGUGGCUACUACUACCCAAUCAUAACACUGGAACGUAAUACAAGUAGGACAGAGAGAACAACA